AACAGGAUUAGAUACCCUGGUAGUCCACGCCCUAAACGAUGUCUACUAGUUGUCGGGUUUUAAUUAACUUGGUAACGCAGCUAACGCGUGAAGUAGACCGCCUGGGGAGUACGGUCGCAAGAUUAAAACUCAAAGGAAUUGACGGGGACCCGCACAAGCGGUGGAUGAUGUGGAUUAAUUCGAUGCAACGCGAAAAACCUUACCUACCCUUGACAUGGAAGGAAUCCUGGAGAGAUUUGGGAGUGCCCGAAAGGGAACCUUCACACAGGUGCUGCAUGGCUGUCGUCAGCUCGUGUCGUGAGAUGUUGGGUUAAGUCCCGCAACGAGCGCAACCCUUGUCAUUAGUUGCUACGCAAGAGCACUCUAAUGAGACUGCCGGUGACAAACCGGAGGAAGGUGGGGAUGACGUCAAGUCCUCAUGGCCCUUAUGGGUAGGGCUUCACACGUCAUACAAUGGUACAUACAGAGGGCCGCCAACCCGCGAGGGGGAGCUAAUCCCAGAAAGUGUAUCGUAGUCCGGAUUGUAGUCUGCAACUCGACUACAUGAAGUUGGAAUCGCUAGUAAUCGCGGAUCAGCAUGUCGCGGUGAACACGUUCCCGGGUCUUGUACACACCGCCCGUCACACCAUGGGAGCGGGUUUUACCAGAAGUAGGUAGCUUAACCGCAAGGAGGGCGCUUACCACGGUAGGAUUCGUGACUGGGGUGAAGUCGUAACAAGGUAACC
rnacentral:rRNA from 1 species